rnacentral:rRNA from 1 species
UACGUAGGGUGCAAGCGUUAAUCGGAAUUACUGGGCGUAAAGCGUGCGCAGGCGGUUUUGUAAGUUUGUCGUGAAAGCCCCGGGCUCAACUUGGGAACGGCAUUGGAAACUGGCGAGCUAGAGUGUGGCAGAGGGGGGGUGGAAUUCCGCGUGUAGCAGUGAAAUGCGUAGAGAUGCGGAGGAACACCGAUGGCGAAGGCAGCCCCCCUGGGCUGACACUGACGCUCAGGCACGAAAGCGUGGGGAGCAAACAGG